CUUAGUCCACGGCCACUGUUUACUUUGACCACCUCGGAAACUGAAGAGUGAAGAGGCAUGAAGCCACAGCAACUCCAAAAUACCAAAACGAUGGAUCACUUUUCCACAAGCUAAAGAUUCUAUACUGGGUUCCUAGUAGGUGCAAAGAAAGACUUGUGCCUAUAGCCUGUAAGUGGAUGGAUGUCUGCUGUGCUGUGGGACUGGGAUACCACUCCGAACCAAAACCUAACAGACUCUCAAAGUGCCUUAUCAAGUGGAUGUUGAACGCAACAUUCGUGCUCUAAAUGGGCUCUUGUCGAGUGCGGAGAGCCACUGGCGCGUUGCCCACUGAUUCUGCCUAUUAGACACGCAAACGGUGAUGAGGACCCUG